rnacentral:sRNA from 1 species
AAAUAAUUUUAUAUUAAUAUUGUUUUUCCAGAGAAUUCUUCUAAAAGAACCUACCAUUGGACUAUAAAAAACCAAAAAAAAG